AGUGAACGCUGGCGGCGUGCCUAAUACAUGCAAGUCGAACGGAGUGGCGCACGGGUGAGUAAUGUAUAGAUAAUCUGCCCUCCACCCAAGGACAACAGUUGGAAACGGCUGCUAAUACUCUUUAGUGUAGGAUGAGGCUAUAUUGUGUCAGCUAGUUGGCGAGGUAAUGGCUCACCAAGGAUAUGACGCAUAACUGGUCUGAGAGGAUGAACAGUCACACGGGAACAUAGACACGGACCAUGCUCCUACGGGGGGUGGCAGUAGGGAAGAGUGCUCAAGGGAGGAAACGCUAAAGCAGCCACGCCGCGUGGAGGAGGAGACUUUUCAGAGCGUAAACGCCUUUAGUUAGGGAAGCUGUGCCUAACGAAUAAGCACCGGCUAACUCCGUGCCAGCAGCCGCGGUGAUAC
rnacentral:rRNA from 1 species